AUUGAACGCUGGCGGAAUGCUUUACACAUGCAAGUCGAACGGUAGAGGGGGCAACCCCCUUGAGAGUGGCGAACGGGUGAGUAAUAUAUCGGAACGUGCCCAGUCGUGGGGAUAACGUAGCGAAAGUUACGCUAAUACCGCAUACGAUCUAAGGAUGAAAGCGGGGGAUCGCAAGACCUCGCGCGAUUGGAGCGGCCGAUAUCAGAUUAGGUAGUUGGUGAGGUAAAGGCUCACCAAGCCAACGAUCUGUAGCUGGUCUGAGAGGACGACCAGCCACACUGGAACUGAGACACGGUCCAGACUCCUACGGGAGGCAGCAGUGGGGGAAUUUUUGGACAAUGGACGCAAGUCUGAUCCAGCAAUGCCGCGUGAGUGAAGAAGGCCU
rnacentral:rRNA from 1 species